rnacentral:rRNA from 1 species
GACGAACGCUGGCGGCGUGCUUAACACAUGCAAGUCAGGGGGUGGCGCAAGCCACCACCGGCGAACGGGUGCGUAACACGUGAGCGACCUGCCCUGGUGUGGGGGAGUAGCCGGCCCAACGGCCGGGUAAUACCGCAUACGACUCCGGAGAGGCAUCUCUCGGGAGUGAAGCCAUUUGGGCGCUAGGAGGGGCUCGCGGCCUAUCAGCUAGUUGGCGAGGUAACGGCUCACCAAGGCGAUGACGGGUAGCUGGUCUGAGAGGAUGGCCAGCCACAUUGGGACUGAGAGACGGCCCAGACUCCUACGGGAGGCAGCAGUGGGGAAUAUUGCGCAAUGGGCGAAAGCCUGACGCAGCGACGCCGCGUGAGGGAUGAC